CUGCUGGGAGAGGGGCAAGACCAGGGAGAGACUUCCUUCAUUCCACAGGUAUAGAAUAACCAGAUUUUUAAAGACCCAACCUGGAACACACCUAGAAGAUUUCUUUGCUGAGGAUGUGGAUGUAAGGACCUGUAUCAAGUUUGGAGGAAUGUGAUUCACAGACUAAAGGGGUCUUUGUCUUGCACUUCUGAACAGACAUAAAAACAAUUAUACCUAUCCAAAGCUGUAGUUUGACAAUUAGCCUGACAGACUGUCAUGGAUUUCAUUCAAAUUUUUAGGGCAAAAUACACAUGGAACAUAAUGGA